rnacentral:rRNA from 1 species
AGGUGUGGGCGGUGUCGACUCCGUCCGUGCCGAAGCUAACGCAUUAAGCACCCCGCCUGGGGAGUACGGCCGCAAGGCUAAAACUCAAAGGAAUUGACGGGGGCCCGCACAAGCAGCGGAGCAUGUUGUUUAAUUCGACGCGACGCGAAGAACCUUACCAAGGCUUGACAUGCACGGGAAUGUCGUAGAAAUACGGCAGCCCUUCGGGGCUCGUGCACAGGUGGUGCAUGGCUGUCGU